UACGUAUGGUGCAAGCGUUAUCCGGAUUUACUGGGUGUAAAGGGAGCGCAGGCGGCACGGCAAGCCUGAUAUGAAAGCCCGCGGCCCAACCGCGGGACUGCAUUGGGAACUACCGGGCUGGAGUGCCGGAGAGGUAGGCGGAAUUCCUAGUGUAGCGGUGAAAUGCGUAGAUAUUAGGAGGAACACCAGUGGCGAAGGCGGCCUACUGGACGGUGACUGACGCUGAGGCUCGAAAGCGUGGGGAGCAAACAGG
rnacentral:rRNA from 1 species